rnacentral:rRNA from 1 species
GACGAACGCUGGCGGCGUGCUUAACACAUGCAAGUCGAGCGGUAAGGCCCUUUCGGGGGUACACGAGCGGCGAACGGGUGAGUAACACGUGGGUGACCUGCCCUCAGCUCUGGGAUAAGCCUGGGAAACCGGGUCUAAUACUGGAUAUGACUCCAUGACGCAUGUUGUGGGGUGGAAAGCCUUGUGCGGCUGAGGAUGGGCCCGCGGCCUAUCAGCUUGUUGGUGGGGUGAUGGCCUACCAAGGCGACGACGGGUAGCCGGCCUGAGAGGGCGACCGGCCACACUGGGACUGAGACACGGCCCAGACUCCUACGGGAGGCAGCAGUGGGGAAUCUUGCGCAAUGGGCGAAAGCCUGACGCAGCGACGCCGCGUGAGGGAUGACGGCC